rnacentral:tRNA from 1 species
GAGGGUAUAGAUCAGCGGCAGAACGCACGCUUAGCAUGCACGAGGUCCUGGGUUCAAUCCCCAGUACCUCCU